CGGUGAAUACGUUCCCGGGCCUUGUACACACCGCCCGUCAAGCCAUGGAAGCUGGGGGUGCCUGAAGUGCGUAACCGCAAGGAGCGUCCUAGGGUAAAACCGGUAACUGGGGCU
rnacentral:rRNA from 1 species